rnacentral:rRNA from 1 species
GAUGAACGCUAGCUGCAGGCUUAACACAUGCAAGUCGAGGGACGGGCGCACGGGUGAGUAACACGUAACCAACCUGUAAUUUACUCGGGGCUAGCCUUACGAGAGAAAGAUUAAUAACCGAUGUAAAGGAUGGGGAUGCGUUCCCUUAGGUUGUUGGUGAGGAAAUGGCUAGCCAAGCAUUCGAUGGAUCGGGGUUCUGAGAGGAAGCUCCCCCGCAUUGGAACCGCGACCCGGUCCACACUCGUACGGGAGGCAGCAGAAAGGUAUACUAGUCAAUGGGCGUUAGCCUGACCAAGCCAAGUGGCGUGAAGGAUGCAUGCUUAUGGGUCCUAAGCUACUUGUAUAGAAGAAUAUGUAUUAUAUGAAUAAGGAUCGGCUAACUCCGUGCCAGCAGCCGCGGUAAUUC